rnacentral:lncRNA from 1 species
AGAUCGCCAGCCUGCGAUUCGUCUUCCUUAUCAACCAGGACCUCAUUGCCCUCAUCAGGGCUGAGGCUGCCAAGAUCACACCACAGUGAGGAGUGGUGGCAGGACUCGUGGGCCCUCUCCGGCCUGUUUCCCCUGCCACUCCAGCCCCCUUGAGCUGGGAACUCAGGCUCCUGGAAAAACCUGGGCAGUGGGAGGCUCAGCUGCGGGCCAUUGAUUUGAGCCUUUGAGGGAGGAUAGGGCUGGCCUUUGUGAAGCCAGCAGAGGCUGAGAACCUCAGGCUUCCCUAGAUCCAGAGCCCCUCCCCAUCUUCCUCUCUCUAAAAACAACCCUACCCCCCAUUGCCACCUUCACUCCUGUGUCUCCAGCUGAUUAGCCUCAGACUCUUCUUUUAUUGUUUUUCUUUUGUAAAUAAAAAGCACCAGGUUCCAA